AUUUUAAAAAAAAAUUGAGUGGAAAAAUUUGAUCGAUAAAAUAUAUUUGACUGACAUUUGUAAGAUGAUGUCAUAGUUUCCACGUCAUUAAUAGCCACAUGAAAUUCACGUCACAACCCCAACGGUUAAAAAGUUAGUGACGGGAAUUUCAUGAUGCAAUAGACUCUAUUUAUUAUAUUCCAAUAUUUUCCCACACGUUAUGCUUCCAGUGUCAUUUCUUCUCCCCUUUUUCCGAUCCUCGCAUUCCUUUCUUACGCUCUUUUUCCUCCC
rnacentral:lncRNA from 1 species